rnacentral:lncRNA from 1 species
UCCGGGCCCAGGUCCUGCACCCUGCACAGGUGGCCCCAAGCCGCUGUCACCUGCGUCUAGCCAGGACAAGCUGCCCCCACUGCCCCCACUACCGAACCAGGAAGAGAACUACGUGACCCCCAUUGGAGAUGGCCCAGCUGUUGACUAUGAGAACCAAGAUGUGGCUUCCUCUAGUUGGCCAGUCAUCCUGAAGCCAAAGAAGUUGCCAAAGCCUCCUGCCAAGCUUCCAAAGCCACCCGUUGGACCCAAGCCAGGGCUGGCAGACAUGACGGCAGAGCUACAGAAGAAGCUGGAGAAGAGGCGGGCACUGGAGCACUGAUUCGGACACACCAGGGACCAGCGGGCUAGUCCCAGGGCAUGGCCCAGCGGCCAGAUUCUUUUUCCCAGGAUUAAAACUCUGACCCCAGGA